AACGAACGCUGGCGGCAUACCUAACACAUGCAAGUCGAACGAGACCUUCGGGUCUAGUGGCGCACGGGUGCGUAACGCGUGGGAACCUGCCCUUAGGUUCGGAAUAACUCCCCGAAAGGGGUGCUAAUACCGGAUAAUGUCUUCGGACCAAAGAUUUAUCGCCUUUGGAUGGGCCCGCGUUGGAUUAGCUAGUUGGUAGGGUAAAAGCCUACCAAGGCGACGAUCCAUAGCUGGUCUGAGAGGAUGAUCAGCCACACUGGGACUGAGACACGGCGCAGACUCCUACGGGAGGCAGCAGUGGUGAAUAUUGGACAAUGGGCGAAAGCCUGAUCCAGCAAUGCCGCGUGAGUGAUGAAGGCCUUAGGGUUGUAAAGCUCUUUUACCCGGGAUGAUAAUGACAGUACCGGGAGAAUAAGCGCCGGCUAACUCCGUG
rnacentral:rRNA from 1 species